GACGAACGCUGGCGGCGUGCUUAACACAUGCAAGUCGAGCGAUGAAGUUUUUUCGGAAAUGGAUUAGCGGCGAACGGGUGAGGAACACGUGAAGAAUCUGCCCUCCACUUUGGGAUAACACAGGGAAACCUGUGCUAAUCCAGAAUAUUGAAACAUAAGUGGCAUCACUGAGUUUUGAAAGAAUUUCGGCGGAGGAUGACUUCGCGGCCUAUCAGCUAGUUGGUGAGGUAAUGGCUCACCAAGGCAACGACGGGUAGCCGGCCUGAGAGGGCGACCGGCCACACUGGGACUGAGACACGGCCCAGACUCCUACGGGAGGCAGCAGUGGGGAAUAUUGGGCAAUGGAGGAAACUCUGACCCAGCGACGCCGCGUGCGGGAUGAAGGCCUUCGGGUUGUAAACCGCUUUCAGUAGGGAAGAAGCGAAAGUGACGGUACCUACAAAAGAAGCACCGGCUAACUAUGUGCCAGCCGCCGCAGUAA
rnacentral:rRNA from 1 species